GGUGUAAUCAGGGGACCUUUAAGCCCUGAAGAGAAAAAGAGGAGAAGGGAAAAUAACCUCUGUCUUUAUUGCGCAUCUAAAGAACAUGAAGUAAAAGACUGCCCUAACCUUACCAAGAUAAAAAGAGUGGGGCUCAAAAGAGAUUAUGUUGAAGGCACUCGUUGAUUCCGGUGCUUCAAGCAACUUUAUUGAUUUAGAUGUGGUGUAUAGGAAUGAAAUAGCAUUAAAGAAAAAACAAAAUUCA